rnacentral:rRNA from 1 species
CCUACGGGAGGCAGCAGUAGGGUAUCUUCCACAGUCGGCGAAAGCCUGAUGGAGCAGCGACUCGUGGGUGAAGAAGGUCUUCGGAUCGUAAGACCCUGUUGUUAGAGAAGAAAGUACGUGAGAGUAACUGUUCACGUUUCGACGGUAUCUAACCAGAAAGCCACGGCUAACUACGUGCCAGCAGCCGCGGUAAUACGUAGGUGGCAAGCGUUAUCCGGAGUUAUUGGGCGUAAAGGGAACGCAGGCGGUCUUUUAAGUCUGAUGUGAAAGCCUUCGGCUUAACCGGAGUAGUGCAUUGGAAACUGGGAGACUUGAGUGCAGAAGAGGAGAGUGGAACUCGAGGUGUAGCGGUGAAAUGCGUAGAUAUAUGGAAGAACACCAGUGGCGAAAGCGGCUUUCUGGUCUGUAACUGACGCUGAGGUUCGAAAGCGUGGGUAGCAAACAGGAUUAGAUACCCGUGUAGUC